rnacentral:rRNA from 1 species
UACGUAGGGGGCAAGCGUUGUCCGGAAUCAUUGGGCGUAGAGAGCGUGUAGGCGGUCCUGUAAGUCCGCUGUGAAAGUCAAGGGCUCAACCCUUGAAUGCCGGUGGAUACUGCAGGACUAGAGUCCGGAAGAGGCGAGUGGAAUUCCUGGUGUAGCGGUGAAAUGCGCAGAUAUCAGGAGGAACACCGAUGGCGAAGGCAGCUCGCUGGGACGGUACUGACGCUGAGACGCGAAAGCGUGGGGAGCAAACAGG